rnacentral:rRNA from 1 species
UACGUAGGGGGCAAGCGUUAUCCGGAUUUACUGGGUGUAAAGGGAGCGUAGACGGCUUGGCAAGUCUGAAGUGAAAGCUCGGGGCUCAACCCCGGAACUGCUUUGAAAACUGCCUGGCUAGAGUGCAGGAGAGGUAAGCGGAAUUCCUAGUGUAGCGGUGAAAUGCGUAGAUAUUAGGAGGAACACCAGAGGCGAAGGCGGCUUACUGGACUGUAACUGACGUUGAGGCUCGAAGGCGUGGGGAGCAAAC